UCAAGCGAUAGGUAAGGGCAUCUGGUGAAUGCCUUGGCAAUCAGAGGCGAAGAAGGACGUGAUACACUGCGAAAAGCCGUGGGGAGCUGUGAAUAGGCAUUGAUCCGCGGAUCUCCGAAUGGGGAAACCCACAGAGUAAUCUGUAUCAAUAUCUGAAUCUAUAGGGUAUUGAAGCGAACGCAGGGAACUGAAACAUCUAAGUACCUGUAGGAAAGGAAAUCAACCGAGACUCCGAGAGUAGUGGCGAGCGAAAUCGGACCAGCCAAUUUGCGAUUAGAUAAGAACCGGAAGUGUCUGGGAAGGCACAUCAUAGAGGGUGAUAGUCCCGUACGGGUAGAAAGUUUAAUUGUAAGAGAGUAGGGCGGAGCACGAGAAAUUCUGUCUGAAGAUAGGUCGACCACGAUCUAAGGCUAAGUACUACUGAUUGACCGAUAGUGAACCAGUACCGUGAGGGAAAGGUGAAAAGCACCCCGACAAGGGGAGUGAAAGAGAACCUGAAACCGGAUGCCUACAAGCAGUCGGAGGGGCAUUAAGCCCUGACGGCGUACCUUUUGUAUAAUGGGUCAGCGAGUUAGUUUAUGUAGCAAGCAUAAGCCGAUAGGUGGAUGCGUAGCGAAAGCGAGUGUUAAUAGCGCGUUAAGUUACAUGAAUUAGACCCGAAACCGAGUGAUCUAGCCAUGAUCAGGUUGAAGGUUGGGUAACACCAACUGGAGGACCGAACCCACUCCCGUUGAAAAGGUAGGGGAUGAAUUGUGGCUAGGGGUGAAAGGCCAAUCAAACUCGGAAAUAGCUGGUUCUCCGCGAAAACUAUUUAGGUAGUGCGGCAAGCGGACACGUUGAGGGGUAGAGCACUGAAAGAGCUAAGGGGGAGCGAUCCUUACUAAACUUUAUCAAACUCCGAAUACUCAUGAGUGAUACUUACCAGACAGACAGUAGGUGCUAAGGUCUAUUGUCGAGAGGGAAAGAGCCCAGACCGUCAACUAAGGUCCCUAAAUUAUGGCUAAGUGGUAAAGGAAGUGGGAUAUCCAAAACAGUCAGGAGGUUGGCUUAGAAGCAGCCAUCCUUUAAAGAAAGCGUAAUAGCUCACUGAUCUAAAUAAGACGUCUUGCGCCGAAGAUGUAACGGGGCUAAAGCCAUAUACCGAAGUUACGGGAUUGUAUUGCAAUAGAUACAAUCGGUAGCGGAGCGUUCUGUAGGCCUGCGAAGGUAAACCGUAAGGUUUGCUGGAGGUAUCAGAAGUGAGAAUGCUGACAUGAGUAGCGAAAAGAAGAGUGAGAGACUCUUCCGCUGAAAGUCCAAGGUUUCCUGCGUAAAGCUAAUCUGCGCAGGGUUAGUCGGCCCCUAAGGCGAGGCAGAGAUGCGUAGCUGAUGGGAACACGGUUAAUAUUCCGUGACCAGUUAGGAAGUGACGGAUACAGUAGUUUGUACAUGCUUAAUGGAUUGUGUGUGCAAGUGAUGUGUCCCGGGAAAUAGCCCUAACGAAGACCGUACCCGAAACCGACACAGGUGGACAGGUAGAGUAUACCAAAGCGCUUGAGAGAACUAUGUUGAAGGAACUAGGCAAAAUGCUUGUGUAACUUCGGGAUAAGCAAGCCCGGUUUUAAGGCAACUUAAGGCCGGGGGCACAUACUAGGGGGUAGCGACUGUUUAACAAAAACACAGGACUCUGCGAAAUUGAAAGAUGAAGUAUAGGGUCUGACGCCUGCCCGGUGCCGGAAGGUUAAGGAGAGAUGUGAGAGCAUUGAACUGAAGCCCCGGUAAACGGCGGCCGUAACUAUAACGGUCCUAAGGUAGCGAAAUUCCUUGUCGGGUAAGUUCCGACCUGCACGAAUGGCGUAACGACUUCCCCGCUGUCUCCAACAUAGGCUCAGCGAAAUUGAACUCUGAGUUAAGAUGCUCAGUACCCGCGGUUAGACGGAGAGACCCCGUGAACCUUUACUAUAGCUUUGCAGUGGUAUUAGGUAAGACAUGUGUAGGAUAGGUGGGAUGCUAUGAAGGUAGGACGCUAGUUUUAGUGGAGCAGACGUUGAAAUACCACCCUUGUGUUAUUUGAUAUCUAACCUACUUCCGUAAACCGGAAGAGGGACCCUGCAUGGUGGGUAGUUUGACUGGGGC
rnacentral:rRNA from 1 species